rnacentral:rRNA from 1 species
CACGUACUGUGCGAACGUUAUUCGGAAUCACUGGGCUUAAAGGGUGCGUAGGCGGCGAUUCAAGUCAGGUGUGAAAUGCCUGAGCUCAACUGAGGCAUUGCGCUUGAAACUGAAUUGCUAGAGUAUCCUAGGGGUGUGCGGAACUGCCAGUGGAACGGUGAAAUGUGUUGAUAUUGGCAGGAACACCGGAGGCGAAAGCGGCACACUGGGGGAUAACUGACGCUGAGGCACGAAAGGCAGGGGAGCGAACGGUAUUAGAUACCCCGGUAGUCUUGGCCGUAAAUGAUGAGCACUGGGCGGGAGGGGGUUUCCCUUUUCUGCCGUAGCGAAAGCGUUAAGUGCUCCGCCUGGGGAGUAUGGUCGCAAGGCUG